UACGUAGGGUGCAAGCGUUGUCCGGAAUUAUUGGGCGUAAAGCGUGUGUAGGUGGUUGGAAAAGUCGAUUGUGAAAUCCCCGGGCUCAACCUGGGAACUGCUUUCGAUACUGUCUGACUAGAAUUCGGUAGAGGGAGGCGGAACUCCAGGUGUAGCGGUGAAAUGCGUAGAUAUCUGGAAGAACACCAAUGGCGAAGGCAACCUCCUGGGCCUGAAUUGACACUGAGACACGAAAGCGUGGGGAUCAAACAGG
rnacentral:rRNA from 1 species